rnacentral:tRNA from 1 species
GCCCGGGUCGCUUAGCCUGGUAUAGCGCAGGAUUGCUAAUCCUGUCCCUUUGGGAUCGUGAGUUCAAAUCUCACCCCGGGCG